rnacentral:rRNA from 1 species
UACGUAGGGGGCGAGCGUUGUCCGGAAUCAUUGGGCGUAAAGCGCGUGUAGGCGGCUCGGUAAGUCCGGUGUGAAAACUUGGGGCUCAACCCCAAGCCUGCACUGGAUACUGCCGAGCUCGAGUCCGGGAGGGGAGAGCGGAAUUCCUAGUGUAGCGGUGAAAUGCGCAGAUAUUAGGAAGAACACCGGUGGCGAAGGCGGCUCUCUGGAACGGUACUGACGCUGAGACGCGAAAGCGUGGGGAGCGAAC